CAAUAGCGUAUAUUAAAGUUGUUGCAGUUAAAAAGCUCGUAGUUGGAUUUCUGACAGGAGCGACCGGUCCGAUCAUUUGGUCGUGUACUUUGUGUUGUCUCUAGUCAUCCUUAUGGAGAACGCUUGUGGCAUUAAGUUGUCGCGAGUGGGAACCAUAUCGUUUACUGUGAAAAAAUUAGAGUGUUUAAAGCAGGCAAUUGCUGUGAAUACGUUAGCAUGGAAUAAUAAGAUAGGACUUUGGUACUAUUUUGUUGGUUUACAUACCAAGGUAAUGAUUAAGAGGGACAGUUGGGGGUAUUCGUAUUUAAUUGUCAGAGGUGAAAUUCUUGGAUUUAUGAAAGACGAACUACUGCGAAAGCAUUUACCAAGGAUGUUUUCAUUAA
rnacentral:rRNA from 1 species